GAUGAAGAACGUAGUGAAAUGCGAUACGUAAUGUGAAUUGCAGAUUUUAGUGAAUCAUCGAAUCUUUGAACGCACAUUGCGCCCGCCAGUAUUCUGGCGGGCAUGCCUGUUCGAGCGUCAUUUCAACCAUCAAGCCUUCGCUUGUGUUGGGGCCCCGCGGCUGCCGCGGCCCCCUAAAUCCAGUGGCGGGCUCGUCGUCGUACCGAGCGCAGUAGACAUCCUCGCUCCGGGAACCCGACGGGUGCCGGCCGUGAAACCCCCCCCAUCAAGGUUGACCUCGGAUCAGGUAGGAAUACCCGCUGAACUUAAGCAUAUCAAUAAGCGGAGGA
rnacentral:misc_RNA from 1 species